rnacentral:ncRNA from 2 species
ACGCGUCCCACGGGAGAGCUCCGCGGCCAUGGCCGCGGGCGCCGAAGGAGCAACUCCUCUCCGAGAAUCUCUCAGGCACCCGGACCGUGCGGUCGUC